GGGGAGGUGCCGGAGUGGACGAUCGGGGCCGCCUGCUAAGCGGUUGUGGGGAUAAAACUCCACCCAGGGUUCGAAUCCCUGCCUCCCCGCCU
rnacentral:tRNA from 1 species